rnacentral:rRNA from 1 species
UACGGAGGGUGCAAGCGUUAUCCGGAUUCACUGGGUUUAAAGGGUGCGUAGGCGGGCAGGUAAGUCAGAGGUGAAAUCUCCGGCUUAACCCGGAAACUGCCUUUGAUACUAUCUGUCUUGAAUAUGGUGGAGGUAAGCGGAAUAUGUCAUGUAGCGGUGAAAUGCUUAGAGAUGACAUAGAACACCUAUUGCGAAGGCAGCUUACUACGCCUAUAUUGACGCUGAGGCACGAAAGCGUGGGGAGCAAACAGG